GAGCGUGUGUCAGGAGACACGUCUGACAUUGAUCGCUAUGAUCUUAUACGGCUUGAUCUGUCUAGAUUGGUUGUUUCCACCACACCAUUCCGAUAGUUGAGCUCCCGCUGCACCCCCGGGGACGCACGGUCGAGCUCUGUUCAAAAUUGCUGGUCGUAGAGUUUGCAUGGCUCGGCGGCCAAUGGGGUUAUUUCUGUUAGGGCUUCUCUCUAUUUCCGCGUAACGGGGAAGUUCGUUUUCAGAAACCAUUUGAAUUUAUGUCGCUCCAUUGGAGGCAUUACACGUGGUAAUCUGCCUUUCUUU
rnacentral:snRNA from 11 species